rnacentral:rRNA from 1 species
UGGGGAAUAUUGCACAAUGGGCGAAAGCCUGAUGCAGCAACGCCGCGUGAGUGAUGAAGGCCUUCGGGUUGUAAAGCCCUGUCUUUUGGGACGAUAAUGACGGUACCAAAGGAGGAAGCCACGGCUAACUACGUGCCAGCAGCCGCGGUAAUACGUAGGUGGCAAGCGUUGUCCGGAUUUACUGGGCGUAAAGGAUGCGUAGGCGGAUUUUUAAGUGAGAUGUGAAAUACCCGGGCUUAACUUGGGUGCUGCAUUUCAAACUGGGAAUCUAGAGUGCGGGAGAGGAGAAUGGAAUUCCUAGUGUAGCGGUGAAAUGCGUAGAGAUUAGGAAGAACACCAGUGGCGAAGGCGAUUCUCUGGACCGUAACUGACGCUGAGGCAUGAAAGCGUGGGUAGCAAACAGGAUUAGAUACCCUGGUAGUCCACGCCGUAAACGAUGAGUACUAGGUGUAGGAGGUAUCGACCCCUUCUGUGCCGCAGUUAACACAAUAAGUACUCCGCCUGGGAAGUACGAUCGCAAGAUUAAAACUCAAAUGAAUUGACGGGGUCAUAGCUGUUUUCCU